rnacentral:rRNA from 1 species
AUUGAACGCUGGCGGAAUGCUUUACACAUGCAAGUCGAACGGCAGCACGGACUUCGGUCUGGUGGCGAGUGGCGAACGGGUGAGUAACAUAUCGGAACGUAUCCAGUAAUGGGGGAUAACUAAUCGAAAGGUUGGCUAAUACCGCAUACGCCCUACGGGGGAAAGCUAGGGACCUUCGGGCCUGGCGUUAAUGGAGCGGCCGAUAUCUGAUUAGCUAGUUGGUGGGGUAAAGGCCCACCAAGGCGACGAUCAGUAGAUGGUCUGAGAGGACGACCAGCCACACUGGAACUGAGACACGGUCCAGACUCCUACGGGAGGCAGCAGUGGGGAAUUUUGGACAAUGGGCGCAAGCCUGAUCCAGCCAUUCCGCGUGAGUGAAGAAGGCCUUCGGGUUGUAAAGCUCUUUCGCAAGGGAAGAAAACUUAUCCUCUAACAUAGGAUGAGGUUGACGGUACCUUGAUAAGAAGCACCGGCUAACUACGUGCCAGCCGCCGCCGUAAGAC